rnacentral:pre_miRNA from 1 species
CAACGUUUGGCUCUUCGUCUUAUUUAAAAAUUUUCUUAAUAUUUUUAUUAUUAUUAGAUGAUAAAAUAUAAAUAGGACUUUAUGCAUAACUAAUUUUUAAAAUAAAAUUAUAUAUUUUUAAAUAAGACGAAUGGCCAAACAUUG